GGCUAAUCAACUUACUCUAUUAACCUGUUUGUGACAUACAGAUUCGUCCCACAAGAAUGUGGAAAAAGCAGGGGGGGCAGCAGGUCCCCAUGAGGACGCUUUUCUUUAAAGCAAUGGAAAAAGCGUUAAGAUCAUGUUGUGGCAGGACGUAGCCACAAAUCAGUUGGGGGAAAAAAAAACAACGAUUUUGGACACACCACAAUUGAAGAAUCCACAACAGAGCGUCAACACACCAUCAUCGCCUAAAGUGAUAUCAUGGGCGGAAAGAUGGCUGUGACCGCCACUGGGGCCACCUGACCAUUCCAGAAGAAAUUUGGGAGGCAGCAUUUGGGGAGGGCCGUCUGCUGAUUCCUGCAGACGGAAUCAC